AAAUGAAUUGACGGGGGCCCGCACAAGCGGUGGAGCAUGUGGUUUAAUUCGAAGCAACGCGAAGAACCUUACCAGGUCUUGACAUCCCUCUGACCGGUCAGUAACGUGACCUUUCCUUCGGGACAGAGGAGACAGGUGGUGCAUGGUUGUCGUCAGCUCGUGUCGUGAGAUGUUGGGUUAAGUCCCGCAACGAGCGCAACCCUUAUCUUUAGUAGCCAGCAAGUGAAGUUGGGAACUCUAGAGAGACUGCCGGGGAUAACUCGGAGGAAGGUGGGGAUGACGUCAAAUCAUCAUGCCCCUUAUGAUCUGGGCUACACACGUGCUACAAUGGCGGAAACAAAGGGAAGCGAAAGGGUGACCUGGAGCAAACCCCAUAAAAUUCGUCCCAGUUCGGAUUGUAGUCUGCAACUCGACUACAUGAAGUUGGAAUCGCUAGUAAUCGCGAAUCAGAAUGUCGCGGUGAAUACGUUCCCGGGCCUUGUACACACCGCCCGU
rnacentral:rRNA from 1 species